CUCAGAACCCUCUCUGCACCCAAAAAUCUACUCAUUCGAAGAAUAGGGCAUCGAUACUUUGCGGCCACACCGGAAGAGUACGCCAACAGAAACUAUGCCAACAAUGAGUCCGAAUAUACCACUGUUAUUAACUCUAUUACUGCUCAGAGAAAGAAUUUCUUGUUGAGGGAUGUUUAUGAUGACAUGUUGCUCGAUGGAAUAAAGCCAGAGAGAGAUACAUUUCAUUCACUUCUUAUCGGAACCAUGAAAGGUGCUCGCUUGCAAGAUGCUUUCUUUUUCCGUGAAGAGAUGAAAGCUAUGGGCUUCGUACCUGAUGUUUCUUUGUACAAUUUCUUGAUAUCUACCUGUGGAAAAUGCAAAAAUUCUGAACAAGCAAUAAGCAUCUUGGAAGAAAUGAAGAGAUUUGAGGUCAAGCCUACUGGACAAACCUAUAUCUGUCUCCUCAAUGCAUUUGCAAUGACUGGUCGGGUAGAUAGAGUGUAUGCAAUUGUUCGGGACAUGACUGCUGCUGGUCUUGGUCUGAAUAAAUUCUGCUAUGCUGGACUUAUAGCUGCUCACAAGAAUAAGGAACCUGUCACAGAUGAUGUAGCUUCCAAGAUUAUUGAGCUAGUUGAGCAGUCCAAGGGUUGGUCAGCAGUUGAAGCUCCUGGUGACAUUCCUAUUAGGUCGAUGAUGGGCAUCUCUCAAGAAGAACUUUACAAUAUUCCAACUGCUGAAUAUGUUUACCGACGUGGAUUUUUAGAUAAGGAAUUGACGGUUUAUCAUGUUGCAUUUCAUGCCUGUGCAGACCUAAAAAGUGUGGAGUCAAUCGAUGCACUUCAUGAGAUGCUUAUCAAGGAUGGUAAAACACCUGAUGUGUUCAUAUUGAUGCAAACCAUGAGGUGUUAUCUUCAAUCUGGGGACCUACAACGUGGUCGGAAAAUUUUUGAGGACUACAUGAGUUCGGGAAAACCACCUAUGGUUGAAUUCUAUAUGACACUUGUUGAAGGAGCAAUGGUCGGUUACACUCCUGAAGGGAUGCAACUCGCUCAAGAGACACUGGUAAAUAUGAGCUCCAGGAACUCCUUCCUGGAUCCUAAAAUGGGAAGUGAUCUCCUUCUUGUUGCUGCGGGUGAAAAGACAGGUGGAUAUACUGUUGCCAAUCUGAUAUGGGACAUGAUGCAAGCUCGUAAAAUGACACCAUCAUUUCCUGGUGUUCAAGCAUAUUAUGAUGGCUUGAAGGUUCGGGAGAUACCAGCUGAUGAUCCAAGACUGAAACUAGUUUCUCAAACCUACAUUAAUUUGAGAAAGAGGUUUGGUGGGUGAGGAUCCGGUAUGGAGCUGGACGAUCGUAGACAGAAGACUUAGGCCA
rnacentral:misc_RNA from 1 species